UUCUUCCACUCGAGGCGGACCAGACAAGGACGUUUCUUUUUAAAAGGGAAACGCCGGAAGUUAAGUGUUUUAUCUCAUUUAAGUUAUAUGCAUUUCACAACAUCAUAUUGAUUUAUAGCGAUAUUUGUGUGGUGUACACAAACUUUUUCUCAGAGAGAUAUUUUUCUUCACUCAUGAUGCGGAGAAGACGGGCAAAUUGGUUUUAUCAUGGAAAACACCGAAAAUGCAUUUGAAUGGCUAUGCAUUGUCAUGGAAGUCGCUUUUAACAGGGGAAACAUAAGAAAGAGACAUUUUCUUUCACUGGAGAUGCGGAGCAGACGGGGAAGUUGGUCUUCUCCAGGAAAACACUGAAUGGUUCAUGCUGGUUUAACAGAAAAAUCGAAAGGAGAUGAUGUGCUUGAAGAGUAUGAAGCCACCAAUACAUUAAGUGGGAUGAGAAGAGCUUUGUUAGGACACAUACCAGAGACAUGGGAGCACUUUUGUGAUGCUGCAAGUGGGAGUUGGGUAUCUUGCUUGGCUGAAAACUGCAGAGAAACACAUCUCGUCUUGCUGAAAACUACUCUUUACAAGGAGGUCCAAACACCAUUAGCAGAGACUUUGUUCAGUGAGCAUUAACAUGCAUUCUGCCUGGAUGCUAAUGAAUGGGAUGCUGUUGUCUAAACUGAUAAAUGUAAGCGUUAUAAACCUCAUGACAUUAAGUGUACAUAUGGACCAAAUAAGAAUAUGUAUUUUCACUGAUUUGCUUUGACAUUAUGAUGUUUUAAUUGUUGUAAGAACAUGUUCUUUACAUGCAUUGAAUGUGAAAACAUUUUUCUCAGGGAAAAAGAUUUACAAUGUUUCAAUUAAAAAUUGUAAAAGUG